GAUGAACGCUGGCGGCGUGCCUAAUACAUGCAAGUCGAGCGAACGGACGAGAAGCUUGCUUCUCUGAUGUUAGCGGCGGACGGGUGAGUAACACGUGGAUAACCUACCUAUAAGACUGGGAUAACUUCGGGAAACCGGAGCUAAUACCGGAUAAUAUUUUGAACCGCAUGGUUCAAAAGUGAAAGACGGUCUUGCUGUCACUUAUAGAUGGAUCCGCGCUGCAUUAGCUAGUUGGUAAGGUAACGGCUUACCAAGGCAACGAUGCAUAGCCGACCUGAGAGGGUGAUCGGCCACACUGGAACUGAGGCACGGUCCAGACUCCUACGGGAGGCAGCAGUAGGGAAUCUUCCGCUAUGGGCGAAAGCCUGACGGAGCAACGCCGCGUGAGUGAUGAAGGUCUUCGGAUCGUAAAACUCUGUUAUUAGGGAAGAACAUAUGUGUAAGUAACUGUGCACAUCUUGACGGUACCUAAUCAGAAAGCCACGGCUAACUACGUG
rnacentral:rRNA from 1 species